rfam:Triticum aestivum genome assembly, contig: Triticum_aestivum_CS42_TGACv1_scaffold_321116_4BL
CUUGUACUCCCUCCGUCCGAAAAUACUUGUCAUUGAAAUGGAUGUAUCUAGAUGUAUUUUAGUUCUAGGCACAUCCAUUGUGAUGACAAGUAAUUCCGGACGGAGGGAGUACUUG